GCUCGCUUGGCCCAGGGGUAAGGCGUGUCACUCGUAUUCUCGUCAUGACAAGAUCAUCGGUUCGAAUCCGAUAGUGAGCA
rnacentral:tRNA from 2 species